rnacentral:rRNA from 1 species
CGUGAAACCGUUUAGGGGUAAACCUGAGAAACCCGAAAUGUCGAAGGGAGAAAUUCAUUCGCGUCUCGACGACGGAGUCGGGCGGUCGUGUGACGGAACGCGCGAGCGUUUCGCGCCCUCCGUCCUUCGAACCGGCGACGAACGCGUGCACUUUUCUCCUGGUAGGACGUCGCGAUCCGUCGGGUGUCGGUCUACGACUUGCGGUGGAGCCCGCCCGUCGUCUCGUACGUACGGACGGACCCGCUCGUUCCGGCCGACUCGCUCGACGGUAUACUGACGGUCGGAGGCCGCUCUUUGCGAGCGUUCGACUCGUCGCAAGCGCGCCACGCGCGUCGGCACGCGGACCUAGCGCCGCGUCCGACCACUGGCGACUGUUGGCGACGAUGUUCUCGGACAGACCUCUUUGACCGAUCGGCGACGCUAUAGCUUUGGGUACUUUCAGGACCCGUCUUGAAACACGGACCAAGGAGUCUAGCAUGUGCGCGAGUCAUUGGGAAUCACUAAACCUAAAGGCGUAAUGAAAGUAAAGGUCCUCCUCGCGAGGACCGAGGGAAGACGGGCGGUUCGCCCUUAAAAGCGGCCGUCCAGCAUUCCCGGGGCGUCUCGUUCUCAUCGCGAGAAGAGGCGCACCAAGAGCGUACACGCUGGGACCCGAAAGAUGGUGAACUAUGCCUGGUCAG